rnacentral:rRNA from 1 species
CCCAGACUCCUACGGGAGGCAGCAGUGAGGAAUAUUGGUCAAUGGGCGAGAGCCUGAACCAGCCAAGUCGCGUGAGGGACGACGGCCCUACGGGUUGUAAACCUCUUUUGCCGGGGGACAAACGGCGGCACGCGUGCCGUCCUGAGGGUACCCGGAGAAAAAGCAUCGGCUAACUCCGUGCCAGCAGCCGCGGUAAUACGGAGGAUGCGAGCGUUAUCCGGAUUUAUUGGGUUUAAAGGGUGCGCAGGCGGAGGUGCAAGUCAGCGGUCAAAUUGCGGGGCUCAACCCCGUACUGCCGUUGAAACUGCAUCCCUUGAGUGCGCGAGAAGUAUGCGGAAUGCGUGGUGUAGCGGUGAAAUGCAUAGAUAUCACGCAGAACUCCGAUUGCGAAGGCAGCAUACCGGCGCGCAACUGACGCUCAUGCACGAAAGCGUGGGUAUCGAACAGGAUUAGAUACCCCUGUA